AAACCCUAAAUUGUCCCAAACCACUAUAAAUCACUACCUCAGCUCCUGUCUCUCUUACCUCACCCUCUUCCAUGAACGCUUCCUCUCCCCCUAUAACAACUCUUACUCUCUCUUUAACAUUAGCAAUGCCUCUCAUUGACCCUUUUCAUCAAACAGGUUCUAUUAUUUAUUUGGUUUUUCGUAUCUGGCAAUCUCAAUUGUGCUUUUGUAAUAUGUUUUGGUUGAUUUGUGGAUAGAUAUCCAGUCCUCUAAAUUAUUGCUUAUGUGGGUCUUUUUGUUUUUGUGUAAAGUUUAUAUUUUUAUAUUGGUCAAAUGUUUUGGCAAGCUCAAUGUGAUUUUCUAAUAUGUUUUGUUUUAUUUUCAGACAGAUAUUUAGUCCUUGCGUAUGUGGUUUUUUUUUUUCAAUUAUGUUUUUUGGGUAAAUCUUGAAUUUUUAUAUUAGCUAAUUGUUUAGUAAUUGGAAUGGUAAUGGUUACUGUGUGUCUGGUAUUUGUGCUUUGUGAGGUACCCAUCUUGUUAUAUAUUCUGUGGGUAUAAGAAUUUCUCAUUGUUAGUGUAGUGUCAGUUUUGUUAUUUUUAGAAAUUGUGAUGGGACUUUCAUGUCUGCCCCUUCAGCAGUGUGUGUGAUUGCUCUAGGGAUGAACAAGUCCCCUCAUAUUAAUCCAUCUGAUUCACUUUGUCAGCUGUCUUAUUCGUUGUCUAGCUGAUCAUUUUAGGGUGGUACAUGCUAUCCAAAUCUUAUUUCUAUCCUUAGUUAUAUUCUAUGCGUUUAAUGAUCCAAAUAUACUUGAACACUCAUACAUAUUGAAGUUACAAAUGUUGAUGAUGACAACUCCUAAGGCUUGUUUCUCAGAACAUUCGCAGUGGCCGCCUAAGAGCUUUCGCCUUCGCCAGGCUUGAGAGCUAGUGCUGCUUAUUCCUUCCUUGGAUGUCUGAAACUUAUUACCUCUUUCACCUAGAUGUAAUUUUUUGUUUGUAUACACUUCUCAAAGCUUUUGCCUUCUCUGGAAUUAUGUUAUCAAAUUGUUAGUUUUCAUUAUCAUGAAUUUUAGAUCUGGCAGGCCUAUCUUUGAUUUAAAUAUUCAAUAGUUAUGGAAUUUGUAAUGUAUUUACCAAAUACCAAUGAUGAUAAAUCCAAAGGCUUGUUUCUCAAAACAUUCGCAGUGGCCGCCUAAGAGCUUUCGCCUUCGCCAGGCUUGAGAGCUAGUGCUGUUUUAUCCUUCCUUGGAUGUCUGAGGUGUUCACCCCAUGAUACUAUUUGAUAUUGAUUUUAUUGGUGUACAAUUUCUCUAGAUAUUUUGCAUUCUUCCCAUUAUGCAUCUAAUAAAUUUGUCUUCUGUAGGGUUUUCUAAUGUUUGAUAGCGGAUAUUGUAAGUCUUUAUUAUAAUGGUAAUAGUUCAUUCUAAUAGUAAUCUGUGGCAUAGGGUAUUUGCUAUAUUGUUGUUGAUGAUGAAAAAUACAAAGGCUUGUUUCUCAAACAUUUGCAGUGGCUGCAUAAGAGCUUUUGCCUUUGCCAGGCUUGAGAGCUAAUGCUGCUCUAUCCUUCCUUGGAUGUCUGAAAGUUGUUACUUCGACAUACAGAAAUAGCUGGCAUGGCUGCCUCAGUGCUCUGCCUUCCUUGGUUGCAAGUGCUAUUGCUGCUUUAGUCUCUCCUUGAAUGCUGGAGGUGUUCAUCCCUAUAUAAUAUAUAAGUUUAAACUCCUCUAAAUUGUUUUAUUUCUUCACAUUUUGUUACAAAUAAAUUUGCGAUUCAAAGAAUUUUCUAAUGUUUGGUAUUGAGCACAUUAAUUUCUUACUCUAAGAUCGGAUGUUGAUGCAUUUACAAUAUUAUUGUUGAUGAUGACAAAUCCAAAGGCUUGUUUCUCAAAACAUUCGCAGUGGCCGCCUAAGAGCUUUCGCCUUUGCCGGGCUUGAGAGCUUGUGCUGUUCAAUCCUUCCUUGGAUGUCUGAAACACAUUUCUCUUUUAUAAACUACAUUGAUGUUAUGUAUUUUGUCAGACCAAUCAUUCAAUUAUUGUACAUAAUUGUUUUGUUUCAUUUAGUAGAAAUCCUAUUUGUUGGCUUUGUAAAUAAAACAAGUUCUGCAGCCAUUCUUUCUGCUGUCUUUUUUCCAUGUACAGUAUUUGGUGUGGAGAAGGCUAGGAAAUUAGGAGAGGCUAAGUGUUGCCCUGCUGCUGCUUGGAAAUUUUAUUGAACCAAUUGUUGGACUACUAACACUGUAACUUUGUUGUUGGCUGUGGCAACUUGAGGCACUCUGUUGGAGGGUCAAAGAGUUGUAGAUUGCAUUUGCUUGUAGAAUCAAUGGGUAUCGAUUCUGUUGUAGGUGUGUCAGAUAUGUUAUUCACUUGUUCCUUAGUGUACAUGGGCUAAAUUCUAAAAUAGUUGUGAAAUAUUAUGCAACCUUAAUAUGCUAUUAGAGCUUUGUGAUUCAGUCACCUCAGUAUGAGAAAAAGAAAAGAUGCAAACUUACAGUACGGGUAUAUUUUUUUCUUCGAAUUUUGAUGUAUUUUUCUUGUCCAAAUCGUGGAGAGUCUCCAACAAACUUGCCACACUGGACUUAUUGUUAUUAUUUGAUGCUUCCGGUGGUGACCAUCCGUAAAAUUCAACUAGUGUGAAAUAUGACAAGAAGGUUGAGCAAGGACCUUAGUUGAUAGGUUUUUUCUACUUUAAAUGAUAAUUUCUUGUUUAAAAAUAAAGUAGAUCAACAAGGGACUGAAAGAGUAGAACAUUGAAUUUAUUAGUUCCCGGGUGUUUGAAUACUUAUUUAGGUUUGACAUUGAAUUUAGUUCCUGGGUGUUUGAAUGCAUUGGUGUUUCAACCAGUAUCGUUGCUGAGUUUUGGGCUUUAAGAGGUGGGCUUGUCUAGCUUCCCAGCUUGGUAUCACCCAAUUACUCGUGGAACUGGAUGCAAAAACUAUUGUCGACCUUAAGAAAUCCUCUUCAUUGCUGACUGACUGCAGGUAUCUCCUAGGCCAAGGCCAAUUCCAUCGAAUCAUGAUCAGCCAUGUGUAUUGGGAGGGGAUCUUCUGCUUCCUUUUCGGGGAUUUUGUUGUUCUAGAAACUCCUCCCACUGAUGCUUUAUGUGUGCUAAAGAAGGCUGCUUCCUUUUUGGGGAUUUUGUUGUUCUAGAAACUCCUCCCACUGAUGCUUUAUGUGUGCUAAAGAAGGCUGCUUCCUUUUUGGGGAUUUUGUUGUUCUAGAAACUCCUCCCACUGAUGCUUUAUGUGUAAUUUUGAAUUCGGAUACUUCUGGAUUGUACUCCCUAAAGGCUUUCAGCCAUUAUUUUGUCAUUUAUGGCUAGUUGAUUUCAAUGCA